AGAGUUUGAUCCUGGCUCAGGAUGAACGCUGGCGGCGUGCUUAACACAUGCAAGUCGAACGAGCCUUCGGGCUAGUGGCGGACGGGUGAGUAACGCGUGGGUAUCUGCCCUCAGGAGGGGGAUAACGGCCGGAAACGGCCGCUAAUACCCCAUAUGCCGAGAGGUGAAACGAAUUUCGCCUGAGGAUGAGCCCGCGUCUGAUUAGCUAGUUGGUGAGGUAAUGGCUCACCAAGGCAUCGAUCAGUAGCUGGUCUGAGAGGAUGAUCAGCCACACUGGGACUGAGACACGGCCCAGACUCCUACGGGAGGCAGCAGUGGGGAAUUUUCCGCAAUGGGCGCAAGCCUGACGGAGCAACGCCGCGUGAGGGACGAAGGCCUCUGGGCUGUAAACCUCUUUUCUCAAGGAAGAAGACAUGACGGUACUUGAGGAAUAAGCCACGGCUAAUUCCGUGCCAGCAGCCGCGGUAAUACGGGAGUGGCAAGCGUUAUCCGGAAUUAUUGGGCGUAAAGCGUCCGCAGGCGGCCUUGAAAGUCUGUUGUUAAAGCGUGGAGCUCAACUCCAUUUCAGCAAUGGAAACUACAAGGCUAGAGUGUGGUAGGGGCAGAGGGAAUUCCCGGUGUAGCGGUGAAAUGCGUAGAUAUCGGGAAGAACACCAGUGGCGAAGGCGCUCUGCUGGGCCAUAACUGACGCUCAUGGACGAAAGCCAGGGGAGCGAAAGGGAUUAGAUACCCCUGUAGUCCUGGCCGUAAACGAUGAACACUAGGUGUCGGGAGAAUUAACCCUUUCGGUGUCGUAGCCAACGCGUUAAGUGUUCCGCCUGGGGAGUACGCACGCAAGUGUGAAACUCAAAGGAAUUGACGGGGGCCCGCACAAGCGGUGGAGUAUGUGGUUUAAUUCGAUGCAACGCGAAGAACCUUACCAGGGUUUGACAUCCUGCGAAUCCUUUGGAAACUUAGGAGUGCCUUCGGGAGCGCAGUGACAGGUGGUGCAUGGCUGUCGUCAGCUCGUGUCGUGAGAUGUUGGGUUAAGUCCCGCAACGAGCGCAACCCACGUCUUUAGUUGCCAGCAUUUAGUUGGGCACUCUAGAGAGACCGCCGGUGAUAAACCGGAGGAAGGUGUGGAUGACGUCAAGUCAUCAUGCCCCUUACAUCCUGCUACACACGUACUACAAUGCUACGGACAAAGGGCAGCAAACUCGCGAGAGCUAGCAAAUCCCAUAAACCGUGGCUCAGUUCAGAUCGUAGGCUGCAACUCGCCUACGUGAAGGAGGAAUCGCUAGUAAUCGCAGGUCAGCAUACUGCGGUGAAUACGUUCCCGGGCCUUGUACACACCGCCCGUCACACCAUGGAAGUUGGCCAUGCCCGAAGUCGUUACUCCAACCCGCAAGGGAGGAGGACGCCGAAGGUGCGGCUGGAUCACCUCC
rnacentral:rRNA from 1 species